CUACGAAAGGUGCAAGCGUUGUUCGGAUUUACUGGGCGUAAAGAGAGUGUAGGUUGUUUAUUAAGUCGGAUGUGAAAUCCCGGGGCUCAACCUCGGAACUGCAUUCGAUACUGGUAGACUAGAGUUCGGGCGGGGUAAGCGGAAUUCCGUGUGUAGCAGUGAAAUGCGUAGAUAUACGGAGGAACACCUGAGGCGAAGGCGGCUUACUGGACCGAUACUGACACUGAGACUCGAAAGCGUGGGUAGCAAACAGGAUUAGAAACCCUAGUAGUCC
rnacentral:rRNA from 1 species